rnacentral:rRNA from 1 species
AAGCGGAUCUCUUAAAGCUGUUCUCAGUUCGGACUGCAGUCUGCAACUCGACUGCACGAAGCUGGAAUCGCUAGUAAUCGCGGAUCAGCACGCCGCGGUGAAUACGUUCCCGGGCCUUGUACACACCGCCCGUCACACCAUGGAAGUCUGCAAUGCCCGAAGCCGGUGGCCUAACCACUUAUGUGGAAGGAGCCGUCUAAGGCAGGGCAGAUGACUGGGGUGAAGUCGUAACAAGGUACC